CGGCCCCCACCCGCUCCUGUCUUUUGUGUGCUUGUGGACAUGUGUGCGUGCCUCCCCGCGAGUGUGUGUGCAGACCCGAGAACUUGCAGAUUAUUUUUUUUUUCCUCUUUUUUUUUCUCCCUCCUGUGCUGGUGGUUGUAAACUUGAUUGGCAUUGGCUGCGCCCACUGACCCCGGCGCCGAGUCCACUGAAGAUUUAAGGUGGAUCCGAGAGGCUGCAGCUUCGGGCGGAGUCUCGGGCUUUUAGCUAGUUUUGGAGGAAAAAAAAAAAAACCCCAAACCGUGCGCCCGCCGUGUUUUUACGCAUCCCCUGCGGUACCAGCCCUGGCGCCCGCCCCGCCCCGCUGGCUCCUCCCUCCUCUCUCUUCUUUCCCAUUGGCCCGCGAGGGUAGUUUGAAUUUUUUUUUCCUUGGGACGCUUGUUUUCUCGGGGGAAAAAAAAAAAUACUGCGCCCCAGAUCGUUUGAUGAAAGCUACUUCGGCGGCCGGAGGUCUUCUUGGUUUAUUAAAAUCAUGACUCUGAGAAGAAAGACUAUGAAAAACUUGGUUAUAAGAAAAACUUUGAUGUUCUUAUUUUACUGAGUGGUAAAGAAUCCGCCUGACAAUGCAGGAGACACGGGUUCGAUCCCUGGGUCGAGAAGAUCCCCAGGUCGAGAAGAUCCCCUGGAGAAGGCAAC
ensembl:lncRNA